UACAACAGUUGUUUAAUUAUCUGUUGUAUGAUAAACUUAACUCUUCUAUGACAAAUUUAUUUAAGUAUUCAAGUCUUGGUGUCUUACCAAACCUAGACAAGUCUUAGCUAUCUGUCGAGAGAAAGAAAGAAAAAAGAACCCAGAAACCUUCUUUCCCUCUCGAUCACUAUCAGAACUCUAAAUCACUAUCAAAACUUUCUAGCCCGAGUCAAAACACUCUCAAUCACUCUCAAUCGCUCUCAAAACCUAGAUAUCGGGUUCUAGCUCUCAAAACACUCUCAAUCACUCUUACCAAAUCUCCGUCGAAAAUCUCGAGAAAAUAAUCCACACCCUCUCCGCCGACGGCCUCUCGGUCCUCCUCAACUGCCUCUACGAUGCCUUAGCCGACCCCAAACCCGCCGUCGAGAAAGAGUCUUUGAGUCCACGCCGAUUUCACAUCCAUCCAUCUCACCAAAGGCUCAAGAACGCCGACUCCGGCGUGGGGGAUGGUGUCGCGACGCCAUUGGGGAAAUCUCAACUGAUCUCCAUUCUCCAAUGGGUUUGUUGAGGUUUCCGAAAAGUUUGGAUAUGAAUCCCACCCAGGAUGCGGGUGUUACCGUGUUAGCAAGGGAGCACUUCCGAGUUUGUUUUAUAAGGACAAGGAGAGAAGCGGAGACAAGAGCUCGGAUGCAUUGAAGACCGAGUUUGUGAAGAUUUAUAGCUAUAAAGAGUUGGGGGAGAAGCUGAGCAAGUUGAGGCCCGAGGAGGGGAAGGAGUUUACAUUGGGGGAGUUGAGUGAGAGGUUGGUCAAGUUGAGGAUGAUGGAAGAGAAUGAGUCUGAGUCUCGGGUUGGGGGAGUGUAUGAGGACUUCAGGCACAGCUUGGAGAUCAUCAAGAUAUCUCAACAAGAGGAGAAGCAUAGGAAAACUUCGAGGCAGAGGCUUCGUAUCAUAGAUAUAGGUCAAACUCCUGAGUAUAUGAUGAAGAAUUGUUAUAAAUGCAUAUGGAAUGAAUUUUCAGAAUAGCUCUUUCUUAAGGUCCUGAGUACUAUCCUGAUAGAAAUGGAGAGAGUCAUUGAUCAUUAUGUGUGUGUGUGUGUUGGAACUAGUUCAUUCCACAUGUUGUUUAUUUAUACUUAUCUAUUUUUGUGCCUUAAUGGGAGAAAUCCUUUGUAUCUGCUGGUCAUCUUCAUUGGCUUUUUACUCUUUAAAGCACUAUGGGUGCAGCUAGACAUCUCGGUCGAAUCCGCAAUGGCACUGUGAGUGUCAAACUUUGUUCUAAUUGUUUAUUGUUCUUGUCCUAUCUAAUCUAUUUGGUUUGCUUACAAGAUGGUUUCAAAAUAGAAGUUAGAUCUUUAGAUUUGGUCAAUCAUAAGCUAUCUAAAUAUACAAAAUUGCAUGCUUCCUGCUAAUGCUUCACAUCAAGAAGGGGUUGGGGGGAUUUGUCAUCAAUUACAAUAAUAAGACUUGAGUUCAAGAGAAUCAUUUCACCCUUAAAGUAUCAGACAAGGUGUGUUGCAGCAUUUUGCUGAUCAGCAAGGAUUCUGGCAAGUAUUCUUGCAAUUAUUAUUAUUUUUUAUAUGUGAAGUACAUCAUGUUUAUGGGAACUGGGUUGCUUAGUAGAGAUGUGUGAAUGACUGACAUGAAACUUCUGGUUUAUUAAGUUUUGUUUGCCACUAUGAGUGGAGAACAAGUACUACAAAACAUUUACUUGUCAUAAAGGCCUACGUCAUGCCAUUGGAAUGAUGGUUUUACGCUUCUAAUAUAUAGAAUAAAUGGCCAUUGAGUCUUGGGGACAUAACAGGAACAUCCCAUUAGAGAUUAAUCUUUGUUGUCGGUAGGUUUCAAAUGACUUUGUGCUGGACGAGAUGAGUUUUUAUAGCCUUCUCUUAGUUGGAUUGUAAUUUUUUAGUUUAGUCUUGGUAUAAGUUUUUGUACUAGUAUAAAUUGCUGACCAUAGUUCUUGCUUUAUAUCUGGUUCUCUUUGUGUUCUUGUUUCUCGUUCGGUUCUUGGGUUUUUUGAGGUUAUUCAGAUUCUUUAUAUGCUGGGAGUUGUUAUCUAGGUGAGUUGUGAUUGGAUAUGGAUUCCCUUAUGUCAAUUAUGGUGUUCUAGUUCAGCUAAGGCACAUUGUUUGGUUUUGUUGACAAUCUUUUUCGGUUUGGUUGUUGCUGGAAGAUUUUUCAUUUAUUUACUUAAGUUGAAAGAUCAAAGUAUGUAAUUGUGAUACUGCAAGUAUGUAAUUGUGAAGUGAGUGUGUCAUGGUAGGUUCAGGUAAUUUUAGUCAUUGUUUUGUCUGUAGAAGGCACUUUCAUGAUACUGCAAGUACGUAAUUGUGAAGUGAGUGUGUCAGUCUAUGUAUGAAAGGGAAUGUCUUCUUAAUUGAACCGGUGAGUAUAAUACAACAAGGUGACGAAACGGCCGCCUCGUAGAUUCAGUUUUCUUGUCUCCCAAAAUUCGUUUUUCAGUUUUUGUUUCUAAAGGAAACCACCUGAACCAGGAGGAGCUAGGACCUCUACUUAUUUUGGUUCCAGAACACCGUACGUGGCUAUUGGGAACCGGCUGCGGCAGCUUGAGCAUGAUCGGAUUGUUGAAAGGUUGCAUGAGGCAUCUGUGUUCUUGUUCAUGAAAUAGGUUGGCUAGCUAUAUUGGGAUCUUUGGCAGGUGUUGAGAUCUCGUUUUGGUUUCAGGAGGUAUGUGUUGUUUAAUUUCUGAUAACCCUUUUAUGAAACUUUAAUUACUGGGCCGGAAUGGAACAAUUCCGGCGUAUUGGAGAGGUUUUGGGGAGUAUGAAGGCACUGAUGGUCUUACAAGAUGGUAUCAAGAUCAAUCAAGGGCAGUGCUGUCUAUUGCUUGAUAUCUUGACUUUGGCAUUUGAGACAAUUGGGGAGGAGAUCAGGCUGAACCUGAAAUUGGAGGAGAAAAAGACCAAAUGGAAGGGCCUAGAUGAACCUCUGAGGGAGCUCUACACAGUUUUCAGAGAAAGCGAGAUUACAUCAGAAGCUGCAUGGAUGCCAAAGACUGGUGGGGCAAAGCAGUCAUCCUCCAUCAGAACAAGGACUGUGUUGAAUUUUACAUACAUAAUUUGUUCUGCUACUUCUCGGCUGUCAUUGAGGCAAUCGAGAACGCUGGAGAGAUUGCGGGGCUGGACCAGGAUGAGAUGCAGAAGAAGAGGAUUGUGCUUAAGAGGAAGUAUGAUUAGGAUUGGAAUGACCCGAAACUUUUCCAGUGGAGAUUUGUUUGUAUCAGCUUUUGCUAUUUUUCAAUGUUAGCUAGGAUGCUAUCAAGCUAGCUAGAAUGCCUUCUUUUUUGGUUUUAUGGUGUGGAUACAUGAAUGUAUAGAUGAUUAACAAAGGCUGCUAGCUCUUUUGGUACAUUAGACGCUUGAAUUAGAGUACUUCAUUACGUAAUAUAUAUUGAACAUUAUA